rnacentral:misc_RNA from 1 species
UCCGGUUUGACACCGGCAGUCUCCUUAGAGUCCUCAGCAUGACCUGGUAGCAACUAAGGAUAGGGGUUUCGCUCGUUAAGCGACUUAACGCGACACUUCACAGCACGAGCUGACGACAGCCAUGCAGCACCUGUGCACGUUCCACUCUUGCGAGUGUCAUUCGACUUUCACCGAACUAAUCCGUGCAUGUCAAGCCUUGGAUAAGGUUCUUCGCGUUGCUUCGAAUUAAGCCACAUGCUCCACCGCUUGUGUGAGCCCCCGUCAAUUUCUUUGAGUUUUAAUCUUGCGACCGUACUCCCCAGGCGGUACACUAAAUACUUUUGCUUCGACCAUGAGGGCGUCAGAGCCUCCACGAUCUAGUGUACAUCGUUUAGGGCGUGGACUAC